GUAUGUAGCUCAGCGGUAGAGUGCUUGCCUAGCAUGUGUGAGGCACUGGGUUUGAUUCUCAGCACCACA
rnacentral:tRNA from 1 species